rnacentral:lncRNA from 1 species
CUGCUCGACCCGCGGCAGGCGCCUCACUGAGCAUGCCCAGAGGCUGCCGGACCAGACCCCAGCAGCGGGAUUGACGCUCGGCGCGGGUGGGCAGAACCGCGAUCUGGAGGAUUUUAGGAGUCCUUCUCGUCUCUACCCCAGAAUUGGCGUUACGACACCACAGAAGGAGUUUUGCCUUUGUUCAUUUAACGCGCGCCCCAGAGCUUCCCGGGGGCGGGCUUAUAGACCCCUGGGGCUUCCAGGUGAGAGGAGCUGUCAGGUGCUGGGAGAGUUCGGAGGCAGAAAUGGGAGGCCACCCAUUCUGUGCAAAUCAACUCCCUGCAACCCCUACCCUACGUAAGAACAAGUAAAAGCAGGUAGCUCGAUAGAAGACGCCAUCUUCAAAGUAGUCUUUCAAGUUUAGCCCCAAUCCCCAGUUGCUGCCUCUAAAACUGCUCUUUCAAAAGAAUUUUGGAACAAAUUUCAGGCUGUUGGGAAAGAAUAAUAAUUUUUUUUAAGUGAACACGGUUUUUGUUGUUUUUUUGUUUUUUUUUUUUUUUUUUUUAGAAAUAAGCAAGUAUCUCUUUCCCCUUUCCCUCCUUCCUUCAUACUUGAGCUCUAGGUAGCGCCCGCCCCAAGUCCUGAGUGGAUAAUUAACUAGGUCAAAGGCAGAAGGAAGAGGUGGAUGCAUACUGGGACCUAAGGGAGUUUCUGUAAAGGGAUUGUAUCAUCGAUGCCUGUGUUUGCCGCUGGCAUCUUAUACGAAAACUGGACCCGACCUUACAUGUAAAAAUUAAGCAAGAAAAUUUUAGGUAAUAUCUUAGUUAUCUGGUUAAGGGAAGUGUCUUGCAAGAACCUGUACCGGCCACCAGAAACCCACACACCUGGAAGAAAUGUAAAAUCUGACCUGGAUUUCCUAUUCCCAGGGCCCCGCCCUUCAGAAUUGCGCAGACUCAGUGGCUGCCUCUCUAAGUCUUCCUACUCCCGCCUCCUGCAGCUGUCAAAAUCCGGAUUCCAGACUUCCUUAGGGCCCGGGACACAGGUCUACGCAUGCUCAGCAUCAACCCCGGUCGAACACAAACACGUGCUUCCAGCCUAUCGGCGCCUGCGCCGUAGCAACCCCAGUUGGUGCCCUUAGGACGCUUCGUGUGCUCUGACUCCAGCGGUCUGUGUGAGCCCAUUUGUGAUCCGCGUCCUGCGCAUACACCUUGCGAGUGACAGAGCCAUGGGUCUGACCUCCCAUUCCAGCAUACGAGGUGAAGUGGGGCCUGGGAGCGGGUGAGGCUGGCGGCCUGCGCACCGGUUGCAGCGCCCGCAGCUCUUGUGGUUUGUUAUCGCUGUCCUACACGCCUGCAGGUCCUUUAACCUUGAGAUGCAGAAGGACAUGCGCUCCGCCCGGCUGCGGGCUCUGGACUGGACCAGCGAAAGGAGCGAGGUCAGGGUGCGGAUGGAUGGUCACUAGGCAUAAGUAGCGCGGGGCCAUGCAGUGUCUACGCAGCUCUGAUACUUGUUUCCCUCAACUAGUCAAACCCUAACACAUAGUGAUCUCGCUGCUGGCUUUUCUUGUUUUCCCCCAAAUUGCUUUUGUGUCCUUAAAUCGCUGGGCCUAGAAAAAGGAAAGGUGAGCGGUAAAACAAACAUGUUCUCCUUCUCACGUUGAAAUCGACAUGGAGCCAGAAAGUUAAUUUCCUGCAAUCCUGAAGCCGUGCAUGACUAAUCACAUCUUAAUUUUGCAGAUUUUUUUAAGGUGAAGAAACCCAAUCCGAGGUCUUCUGUUUUCCCAGUUUUUUAUUAUGCCCCUUGCAUCUGGCGUUCGGUGGCUGUAGUCCAAGAGAGAGGAUUAAAAACCAAGUUCCUUGAUCCUUCCUUCAGCUUCCACAGUCGUCCUUCUCUGUACUAGUACCUAACGUUUGGAAACAAUACUUUGCAGAAAGUCCAAUUAAAGUUAAGAGAAUUAUUUAUAAAAUUUGCCUAGUGUGGAGUUCACUUUAUAACAAUAUUAAUGAUACUAUAUUUGUUAAUAUAACACCCUCCUCAUGCUACAUGAUAUAUAUGAUCUGUCUGUCCUGGUAUAAAAUGCAAAGUUUGGCUACCUGUAAAUGUAUCCAGUAAAGGUAAAGAGCUUGUCCAGAAGUAAUUAAAAUUGGUACAAUUGAUUCAUUCAGUAAAUUCUGAGCAUUUGUAGUACCAGGUUCUGUAAUAAGCCCCUACUAACUUGAACUCUAAUUUUGUAUUAGAGAUAGUCCGUAAGUUGGAGAGUUCUACUUCUUUUGACAACAUUUACUUGGAAGAUAGGGGGGAAAAGUUCUAAGUUAAUAAUAAUAAAAAGGUGAUUAUUUGCAAAAAUUAUUUGAAAGGAUCAUCAUCUGGAGGCAUCUUGUACAUUUAAAAUAUCGAGUUAUAUCUAUGGUUUUGGUUUUUAUAAAAACUUUUGUCAAGAAUAAGACUUUGGAUAAAAUAAAAUGCUCAUGUGACUUAUGCUGCCAAUAUUUUUAAUUUUAUAGAAAGACUGCACAUGGGCCAAAAGAUUCCAAAAUGUGUUUUUGUUUAAAAUAUGGGACCAUUUUGUGUAAAUAGGCAUUGAAAUCUAUUUAACUCUAUUUCAGGGGCUUGUUUGUUAUGGUAUUAGGGAUUGAAUCCAGGGCCUCAUGCACGGUAGGCAAGUGAUCUACAUCCCAAACCCUUCAUCUGUUUUUAUUUUGAGAUAGGUCUCUCUAAAUUGUCCAGGCUAGUCAAACUUUUCAUCUUCCUGCCCAGGCCUCUUGAAUAACCAUGACCACAAUUGAACUUCAUUUAGGUAGCAUUUUGUGGAAUCCCUAGGACUUCUUAUCACUAUGUACAGGUUAAUUUUUCCUGUAAGCAAGACAAGUGUUUUGUUUUUGUUUUUUAAGUCUUAACAUAAGGGAGUUCAGGGAUGAGUUUUCCAUUAGUUUAUCAUUGAGUAAAGGAUACAAAUCACUUGGUGAAGCUGAUUGUUAACUAAAACUUUAAGUACACAACUUCAUUAUGUGGAGUAACUACUUUUUAUUUCACUGAUAAGCAUAAAGGUUGUUGUGGGGGCCCAUAGGGAGAGGCCCAGAGGCUUUGUAAAUCUCUCUGACAGUACUUCCUUCUCAAAUAUAGUGGCUGGCAAAGUAGAAACAGAAAAGAAUUUGGUUUGGAAGAAUAAACAUCCCUACACCCCAUUAAAGUUUGUUUCUUCUCUCUCUCUUCUCUCUCUCCCUCUCUCUCCUCUUUCUCCUCUCUCUCCUCUCUCUUCUUUUUUUUUUUGAGGUACUAGGAAUCAGAGCCUCAAGUAUACCAGCCCUCUACUCAAUUUUCAAAACAAACCUAUUAGCUUCUAUAGAUUUGAAGAUCAAUUUGAUCUUUUAAUUUAGGGGAAGAUGAUCAUACCUGUUCUCAAUUAAGUGAAUUCAUAAUUAUAAAAGGCUUAGAACAUAGUAUGUGACAAUGAUAACUUAUAUGUUGAAUAAAAAGUAAAAGUAUAUGUAUAUACAUUCUGAAUUCUUUAUAUUCAGGGAAAAAGAAAAAGUAAUGAGUGGGUUAUAAAUAAGAGUAAAUGGGGAUCAGGCCAGGACUGGAAGUAGGCAAUGAGAAUGAGUGAUUGCAAUUGAAAUCCUGUCAAAGAUCUUUGCCCAUGUGAUGGGUCUUCUUGUCGAUUUGGUUGAUGAGACCAUUAAUUCAUUAUAGUUUUUAGCACUAAGUGACAUUUCCUGCCUGCUUCCCUAAUCUCUUAGGAUUCUUCCCUGUGCCUUCUAAAUGGACCUUCCAGAACUGACCGGGCUAUUUAAUAUCUCCAGGAGACAUUGAAUCCAUUCUCAUCCUUAACCCCUUUGCUUCUGUUGACAAGAAAAAUAUAAUUCUUGAGGCCAUUCUCUUCCCAUGUCCUCCAGAUACCUUAAUUCUUGCCUCACUGAUACUUAUCACUUUUAAAUCUUUAGCCCCUCAUAAUGGUUUUCUUCUCUUCAGCCUAAUUUGCCUUCAUCUUUAGAAAGAAAAAACAAAAGCAAAAAACAAUUGAACUAAGUAUUUUAAAAGGGCUUCUUUAACCAGACUUUCCUUUAAAACAUUUAUACUCACAAGUGGCUUUACCCCCAAGUUACAAAAUAGAGAUUUAUCUGUUCACCUUCCCCUUCAUUAUCCAUCCCAAACCCUAAUCAUUAGAAUGCAUAUAACCCAAACCUUAUGUAAAUCUUGCCUGACUUUUGUAUCCUUAUAUAUUUUAUUGAAACUAAUUCAUAAUUUCCCACCUCAUUUAACUUCACCAAAUUGAUUGAGUAAAUUCAUUAAUUCCUUGAAAGUAAUGCUUUAAGGAAUUCUUUUUUUCUGAGAAAGGAUAUGUAAAUCAUACUGAGGAUAAAGCUGUAGCUCCGAUAGGUUAUAAACAACAAAUAAAUAAUUAGAGGGUGGGAUUUGGAGCUAUGGGCAAAACAGGAUUGGUCAUCUGUUGAUAAUUGUUGGAACUUGAUGAGGGUAAAUGAAUUUUUCUUUAUCCUGCAUGGUCUCUAUGUAUGUCUGAAAUAUUCCAUACUAAAGGGUUUUUUGUUUGUUGGGGUUUUUUUUAUUUUAUUUUUUUGUUUUUUAUCUGAAGAAGUAAAUUCCACACUUUACUACAGUAGGUUAAAAGAAAGGCAAAGAUAAGUCAUUUGGUAUAAGGGUAAGACAUUUGGCAUAGGAAUGAUAAGACAGUUAAGGCCGGACAGAUGAAAUUGCAAAUUCAAAUUAGUCCAUUACUUCUACUCAACUCACAUUGAACUCCACCAGUACACCAAGCCUUGAGAAGAAAACAUUACCAGAUGCCACCUCCAGUCUGUGCAAAAUCUCAGGGAAGACUGGGUUUCAACACAGCUCCCUUCCCCCUCUCCUGAUAGACAAGAAUGUUCUGAUUCUGUGGCAGUUGACAGUGGGUAGGAGAAGGCAGUUUGAGGCAGAAAAGGGGCUGAAGGAAAAGAAGAAGGGUGAGAUUUCCAAGUUAAAGAAAAAAAUAAUCCUCAUGAUAAAGAAAAUCUGAGGAAUGGAUUGUAAAUAAGGGUGGGGGAUUCGGGGUCAAGUCUGUGUUUUCUCCAUCUCCGAAUAAUUUUGAGAGAAAUCUAGAGAUUAUAUAAUAGUCCAAGGGAAGAAAGAGGGAGUUUAGAAAUGUUUAUGUUCUUUAAUGGAAGAUAAUUUAUUAAAAAGAAUUGGGUAGAGUGGGUUCAACCUAACUAUAGGAAUUACUGCACCAUGAGAAAUGUCUACAGAAAAAGCAAAAUGAAGAUAAGCCAGAAAAGGGGGGAAAAAUGAAAUGCUGAAGAUUUGGGGCUACCCAGUUCUAACCCAGAGUCUGAAAGAUGCCAACUGACAAAAUAUUUUUAAGUAUUGAGUCUUGGUAAAGACCCUUUUUGCCUCUGAGGUUAUUCUUUCCCCACCUCUGCUUAUUCUAGGACUUGAACCCAGGAACAUUCUACCACAGAGCUACAUUCCCAGUCCUUUGUGUAUUUUAUUUUGAGGCAGGGUUUCUCUAAAUGGCUCAGUCUGACCUUGAACUUGUGAUCUUCUUGCUUCCACCUCUGGAGUUGCUGGUAUUAUAGGCAGCAUGACUAUUCUUAAUAGGCAUAUAUCGAGUACUAAAUGUCACUUGGGUUUUGUUAUUUGUUUACUCAAGUUUUCAGUUUUUUCUCUCCCCUAAUUGUUGAUUUUUAAAUCUACCAUCAUUUUUGUUUAUCUCUGUCUAGCUUUUUUUUCCUUCUUUUCCCUAGAGUAGUCAGUGAAAUUCAGCUUUUUGCCAGAAGAGACUGAUUCAGGCCACAGUAAUGAAAUGAUAAAAUAGCAACUCUUUUGUUACUUCUGGGAACUCUUACAUUUGUCCCCAGUGAGAUUAGAGAAUUAGAAUUUGGGAAGAGAAAAAAGGGAAAUAGAAUUGGGGAAGAGAAAAAAGGGAAAAUCUUAAGAUAUUAUCUAGCUCUGUGAUUCUAAAAUACUUAUUUGGAGCAAAUACAAAGCUAUUUUUCUAACACACAUGGUACUGUGAUAAUUGCUUACAGCAUGAGUGACCCGUGAUGGGGGUAGAGUAUAUAUUUUGAUUUCCCCAUGGGGCAGCCACUCAGCACUCAUUUAUUUAAAUGAUACUUGCAGUAUUGCCUCUUUUCUAUGCCAGUUAUUCUGUCAUUUAUUUUACCAUCACAAAAUCCAGGGGAGGUUAAAAAAAAUUUUUUUUAAGUCACUAAAUGAAUUCAGUUGGUAAUAUGAGAAAAGAAUGUUCUAACAGCUAGGAGAGAUUCUUUUGACCUGUUGUGAGUUUGAUGUUGAAGUUCCUAUAGGAUUUUUUUUAAUAUCAUUAAACUAAUAACUAGCCAACUCAGGAUUUUUUGCAAUAGAUAAGCACCAUUAAAACAGGUAUAUCAGAAAGCACUUCCCAAUUCACGUAAAAAAGUAAAAUAUAAGAUUCACUUUUAGUGAGUUGUGUUAUUUAGUCUUCUGGAAUAUUGACCUCUUUUAAGUUUGUACUGAAGACAACAUUCAGCAAACAUUACUGAGCAUAUCCUGUGCAUAGCAAUGUUUUAGUCCAUUUUUAAAUAGAUACUUUAGCUAUUCAGAGUGUCUUUCCAUUAGCUAAGUAGAUUACUGUAGCUCCUAACAGAGAAUAUUUUUUCAAGAAAGUUCCAUAGUAAAUAAUGCAUCAAAAAGGAAGAUCACAGAUAAAGGUAGCAAUCACAGCAAAGUUGCAGCCCUGCUUGGAAAUACCACAGGAUAAUACCAUGAAAUAGCACUAAAAUUUCAAGAGAAAUCUACAGGAAGAGUGUACUUUAAAACAACUUCUGAUGAGGCCAAAGGUUUAACACUGUCAAAUGACUUGUUUUCUCAGUCAUGCAGCACCUGGGAAGGACAAACUGUUAAUGUUUAUCUUAGGGGGUUAUAGCAAUGAAAGAAUGGAAGUGUUGUGGAAAAGAAAACAAUCUAAAUUACUUUGGAAAGAAUACUGGGCUAGGGAUGUAGCUCAGUAGUAGAGCACUUGCCUAGCAUACAAGAGGCUCAAGGUUCGAUCCCCAGUAUUACAAAAAAACAAAAAAAUACUGAAGUUGAAAAUAAAAUCCAUAGAACAUGGUAAUUAGAAACAUUGGUUAAAAACAAAAUUAGAAAAAUUUGUUAGACAAAAUUAUUAAGUAACUGGAAGUCCAAGAUAAAAGGAAUUAAGUAUGGGAAUGAUAUAUUUCCUUUCCAGUUUAGAGUUAAUAUUGAGCUACAAUUACAUGUAAGACAAUGUUAGGUAUGGUGACUGAUCACAUUAGUGAAAUAGGAAAUAUGACCACAGUAAUGCAAAUAAGCCACAUGGUUACUAACUCCUUAUGUGUUUUUAUUUGGCCUUGGAAUGUGUUUUUUGUACUUAAUCUCCCUAGGGCUUUAUUUGAUAGUCUGGGAACUUAUUUCAAACACUGUGAAGAUGUGACUCAGGAAGUGCUGAGAAGCAGUGCACUGUGUUUUUCCUGACCCCUGUUCAACAUCAUCCUGCAGCCCACUCCAUGCUGAGAAUAGACAACUCUCAUCUGAGGCUGAGACUAACCAGAUUAUGCAGAACUUUCUUCUCUCCAUCACUGCCUGGAGCUGGGGUAGUCAUUAAGCAUUUGGGUUUCUAAGAAUUCCUUGAAGAGCUAUGCAAAGAGAAUAAGUAAAUGGCCUGUUAGUCAAACACAUUUAUUACUAUUAUAAUUAGAAAGGAGAAUAAUAUCAUUAAAUUAAAAAUGGAGUUUGUGGGGAAUUCAGAUAAUCAUCCACUUGUGGUUAAUAGAAAUUUGAAUUUAUUAAAUGAGACUAAUUAUAUUAAUCACAUUUUAUGUGAAAUUUGUAUGUUCUGAUUUUUAUUUUAAUGAGAAAGCACUUUGAAACUUUAGAAUUCUGCAAGAUAUAUUCCUUUGAAUGUUUAGCUUUAGGAGUGGUUUUGUUUUGUGUUCUUUUUGUGUUUUUUCUUUGAAUACUGAUUCUAUGUGUAAUUAGAAUUAAGUUUUGAUAAAUAAAAUCAUUUUAAAAUCACUAAGGAACUAGCUAUUUAAAUGAACACUAAUGAGUCAUUUUGCUAACGUAAUCUCCUCCUGUUUUAUUGUUUGUUUGUUUGUAAUCUAAAAUUUUACUUUGCAGGUUUUGUGUUUUCUUUUAAGCAGUGUAUACCUGCAGGCUCAAAUUAUUUAAAAAUCUGUUUAUGAACACUUUGAGAAAGAUUAAGCCUUGUUUUUGCUUCUCUGUCUUAAAGAAGGGAAAAUAACCAUUGUUUCCCUCUUCUAUCUUAAUUUCACUUUCAUCACUCAACAGAAAAUAUAUAACUGCCUUAGACCUUUGUUGGGACUUUCCCCAGCCCUCACUAUUACACCAGCAUGUUCUGGUCAUUUUGGUAACAUUGAAAAUCUUUGAUUGUUGCACUCCUUAAUAUUCAAAAACUGAAUUUCCUAAACAUUUGUGAAUGAUUUUUAGUGUGUAUUUUGGUUUGGGUAAUUAUUCCUCUUUUUCUUCCCUGCCCCAGUUGAAUGGAUUGCAGCAGUUACCAUUGCUGCCGGGACGGCUGCAAUUGGUUACUUAGCUUACAAGAGAUUCUAUGUCAAAGAUCAUAGCAAUAAAGCAAUGGUAAACCUUCACAUCCAGAAAGACAAUCCCAAGAUAGUACAUGCUUUUGACAUGGAGGAUCUGGGAGAUAAAGCUGUGUUCUGCCGUUGCUGGAGGUCCAAAAAGGUAAGGAUAAUAGGUCAUACAAAACUGUUAUCAAUGUAACAUUUCUUUUUAAUCUACUCUGUCAAACUUGUAUUACCAGAUUGUGAAGACACCCUUUUUUCUUUUUUUUUUUUUUUUAAUUGCAUCCUGUUCUUCUGUUUUCCAUAUAUUUACUACUAACAUAUAUAUAACUACCAUUCAGUCAAAUUAUACCAUACCCUCAAUUGAGUUCAGGUGAAUGCAACCAUAUUCUUGACCAAAUAAAAGAGAAAAAUCUCUUUAAUUUACUCUUAGGAUUUCCUCCCCAAGUGGAUCUUAGUUUCUUCUAUCCCAGGAAAUGGGAGUGUGCAGCUUGAGUACAACAAGAAACAAAAGAAAUACUUUUUUUUUUUUUUUUUUUUUAAGAUUAACAGCUCUGGAUACUAGGACAAGUUUUUAGAAAUUUCAAAAGAAACUUUUGAAAAUUACCCUAUCUUAUUGGCAUCCCAAACCUUCUAUCAGCUGUUAACUCCUUUAAUUAAAAAUCUAACAAUACAAGAUUCUUUAAAAUCUUAUUUAUUUUAUGAGAAUUGUAUUUCAGAUUUCUUGGGGAAAUAUCACCUACGGUACCUUUUCAGGUUUAGAUAUGAUGGCAGCUAGUGAGCCAGACAAUAGAAUCCUCUCCUGGGUUCAUCUUUUUCUUGAAUGACUUCAGAAUUUCUGGUAUAUUGUUAGAAAUACAGUGAAAACAUCGUAUGUGCUACCAUUAUUAGCAUUCAAGUAAAAUUUGUUUCACCAAAAAUAAUAGUAAAAGAUUCCAAAAAAACUGAUGUUUCUAGGGUGGGGAUGUAGCUUAAUAUUAGAGUUCUUGCCUAGCAUGCACAAAGCCAUGGGUUUAACCAAGUUCUGCCAAAAAAAAAAAAAUAAUUAAAAGUGUUCAUUUUUGAAAGUAUAUUAUGUUGGUGACCCUUCCCACAGUGAAGAACCAUUUAAUGAAUCAUAUUAUCAAAAAUGUGGAAGAGGGCUGGAAUUGUGGCCAGUGCUAGAGUGCUUGCCUAGGAUGUGUGAGGCACUGGGUUCAAUUCUCAGCACUGCAUAUAAAUAAAUAAAGUCCAUUGACAGCUAAAAAAAAUUUUUUUAAAUGUGGAAGAAACUGUGAGCUUGGUUCUAAAAAGUAUAUUUCUCGAAUCUAUUUCUCCCAAAUGAUCUAUGUACAAUCCAGUGAUUCAGAGCUAGAUUUUGUUACUGUGUUCAGAAAUUGAUGAAUAUAUGGAAUAUGAACCAAAAAUUAACAGACCCAUUACAACAAAUUGUACCUUAAGAAUAACACUGUAUAUUUAGAAUAGGCUUCCUAGUAAGUACUUGUGGGGUUGCUAGAAAAUAAUCUCUUAAUAGUAUUCCAUAGGCUAAACUUGGUUUAUUUUUUUAAACAAACCUUGUCUAUAGUAGGUGCCUCUCUUUUUGCUCAUUAAAAUAUGAAAAAUAAUGCAUUUCAAAAUUACAGAAUUUCUGUUGGUGUUGCAAUAGAUCUUCAGUUAAUGAUCUUAAAUAUAAGUUCAUUUACUGCUUACUAUAUAUAUGUACAUAUAUAGUAAAACAGUAGUUUUCUUGGAAGAGUAUAAUAAAUGCAAUACAAAUGUUCUAAAUGAGAGAAAAGAAAGAGCUUACACCAUGGACUAAAAUUUUCUGGGAAAGCAUAAUAAUUUAUGUUUGGGAGUUAAAUUUCCCCUGAAAAGAUAGGUGGUAUAUGAAUAUGCUGCAAGUAUUCGGAACCCAUUUUCAAAAUCUUCAAUAAAAGGCUCAUAUGAGGAAAGGGGUAUUGGGUGAAAACCCUAGUCUGGUCCUUGCACGAGCCCCUCUUUCCCCCAGGGAAUAAAUCUAAAUUGAGGAGAAUCUGAGUGACCGUGUGAGGAAUUUGUCCUUCCAGGCAUGCAGAAGUGGUAGGAUACAUAGUUUUCAGCAGGGAUUUCAGAUAUAAAGUUAUAAUACUUACAUCAGAGUGUUAGCUGUAUAAGUGUGUGUCCGGGGGUGGGGGGACAAACAGUUAAACAUUUUGAGGGAAAUAUCAGCCAAAUUUAGUGACUUGUGUUUGGAUGACUGGGGGAGCAAAACUAAAGGAACCAAGUGUGGGAAUUAGAAAGAUUAUGUCAUUAACAAAAAUAAGGAAUUCAGGUAAAAACCCGAUUUUCCAGAACAGCAAUAACAAGUUUAAUUUCAAAGAGUGUAUUUGAGGUGACAGUUGAAUGGAAAUGUACAGCAGAUGAUCUAAAAUGUGGGAGUACAGCUGAGACAUCAGGGUUGGAGAUAGAAAUCAGAAAAACUGAUGAGUCGAGUGUAAGAAUGUAACUGAUCCUUGGUACUGAUAAAAAUCAAAAGCUAAGUAUGAAAUCUUAGAGAAUUUUUUGCAUUUUGGAAAGAGGAACAAGAGUCAAUUGAGGGGGCUGGGGUUGUGGCUCAGCGGUAAAGUGCUUGCCUAGCACGUGCGAGGCCCUAGGUUCGAUCCUCAGCACCACAUGAAAAUAAAUAAGUAAAAUAAAGGUAUUGUGUCCAACUACAUCUAAAAAAUAAAUAUUUAAAAAAAAAUAAAAAUAAAAAUAAAAAAAAAGAGUCAAUUGAGGAGGUGAAAUAGGCCAGAGGGAUUACAAUAAAACUAAAAAUAUUGUGGCUUUAAAGUGGAAAUGGAAAAUUCUCAAAGAUUAUUAGUGAACAUCUGCCUAUACAAAAACAAAAACAAUCAGGUGAAUAAACUAUUGUAGUAGAACAGUUGGAUUAAGCAAGUAGGCAUCUGACCUUUGGUGUCAUUUCAACAGAAUGAUUAAACACUGUGUCUAAGUAGGUUAAAAUGUGAGUUACUAAUAAAGAAAUGCUAUAAGUCUGAGUAUAUGUCAAAAUUACAGUAAAUAUAAAUAGUGAAGGAAAGAAAAAUAAGGUAACUGCUUGAGGGAACUUUAAUAAAGCAUCACUUUGAGGUAAGGAGAGUUUUCCUUUGAUUGGGUUUUCCGAGAGGUAAAAGUGUCCAAUAAAGUAAAUAUGGAUUUUCUUCAACUAAGAUCUCAAUUUUUAUGACAAGAAGGAUCAAGAAUGGACACAAGCUAGUGGUUUAAAUGUUUAUUAGACUUUAUAAUUCAACAAAACAUUCCACUAUUAUUCUUUCAUUUUAUAGAGUUCCCAGAGGGUUAGAAGAGGGACCGCCAUUUCCCAUGGGGAAACUUCAAGAAAUGCCAGAUGACUUUUUGUGUAGGGAGGUGGGGAGUCUAUGGGCAUUCAGUAAUCCUCUUUGCAUGUAGGAUUUGCCAGUUACGAAUUUUCACUUGAGUCUUGGGUACUUGUUAUUCCUGCAUGACUCAAUUAAGGAUUCACUUUGAAUAUAUUCAAGUUAAUGAAUGUUCUUACUCUUCAGACACCUUUGGAAACUCCCCACAUUUCUCAGGUUCCAAAGGUUAUCACACAGCUGCCAAGUGACACAUUUACUGGCUGACUAACAUAAGACUUAAAAUUAACACCUUUGUUGAAAUGGUUGUAUUGAAUUAUAUUCAUUUUUCCCUCAUUCAAACCAGUUGUAUUUAUAAAUAACAAAAUCUAAGCUCCUUUUUACCAAUCAAAAAAUAUCGUGUGAUACAUAUAUUCUUAAGAUGCAAUCACCCAUACCUAAUUGAAUCAGAUCUCUUACUGAUGCACAGUAAUUACACUGUUUAACAUACUCCAUUCCUUCUCUUUCCAGACUUAAUAUGCUGUCUGCUGUUUCAGAAACUGGCCUAUUUUGUAGUAUUAUACAAAAGGGCUAUCCAUAUUUUAAGUAAAAAUGAAAUGAACCAGUACACAAGAGAUUAAAGUAACUUUAGGGAAAGGUACUAUUUGGGAUAGUGGUGUUUUGAAAAGGGGUGAAAGGAAAAGAGAAUAAGAGGAUAAAUGUGAAACUCUGCCUUAUAAGAGAUGGUCUCACUUUCAAAAAGAAAAUGAAAGAAGUUUGUUUGAGGGAAGAGUAUGCACCAUAGUUUUGCUAAAUUUCUGUCAUCCCCCACCCCCCACAUCAAGUAGUGUGUAGAAUUAUUUUCUUUCAUUUAUAACCUGGGGAGUUUGAGUUCUUAAUUUUGUAGGUAGUGGUGACAGCAGGCUUCUGUUUUGGUGAAAGUGUAUGUGUAUGAAUGAAAGAGAGAAAGCUUCCAUCCUAUUAAUGGUUUAGUAGUGGGUUGUAUUGUACUGAGUCCAUUUUUUCAUAGAAGCAAUAUUCCCAAUGUUAGAUCUUUUGAAAACCCAAUUUUGGAUUUAUGGUCUUGUAAAAUCUUAAUUUCUCUAUAUGUAUUUUCAUAUUAUAUCCACUAUCUUGUGUUUUAUUAAAUUAAGGACAUAAAAUGAGUAAAAAAUGUCAUAUUGUUCUCUAAGGUAGUGUCAAAGAUCUCAUUACUUUUAACUUUUUUUCUCAACCAAAGUAAUCAUAUUUCUCAGUUCAGAUAAUGGUAAUGAGCCAAAAUGACCUCAAGUAACUUCCUGGGAACAUAGCAACAAAACUCCCAUUAAAAAUACAAAGUUUAGGGCUGGGGUAUAGCUUAGUGGUAGAGUUCUUGUGUAGUAGGUACAAGGUCCUAGAUUUAAUCCCCAGCACCACACACACAAAAAAAUAAUAAUAAUAAAUAAAGUUUGGAAGAUAAUGUGAUAGUUUCUUUUUUUAAGUGUUUCAGAUAGAAGACACAGAGAAGAGCAUUUAUUUCUAUUUUGAAACUUCUUGAAAAAGACACAAGAUGUAAGGGUCAUUAAAAAAAUAAAUCUUGUGCCUUGUGUUUUUUAUGAAGACCCUGAGAGUGUUACUGUCUUUCCAAGGAAAGAGCAAGGAUCUUUGAUAUUUUUGUGCUUACUCUUUCAUUCUAACCUUUUCUCACACUCUUCUUCCCAGUUUUAAAGAUUUAUAGUUUUCAUAUUGGGUUAAUAGUAUUUAUUUUAUGUACAUCCAGGAAAUUGAGGCAAUUUGAUUAACAAACUUUCUCUGGGUUUUGAUAAUAAAGAAAUACUGGCAUCUUACAAGAAAUUUGGCAGUAUGUCAACUGAAUUAAAAUACCCUUUGAGUUUUUUGUUUAAGUUCUUUACUUGAGGGCUGGGGAUGUGGCUCAAGUGGUAGCGCGCUCGCCUGGCGUGCGUGCGGCCCGGGUUCGAUCCUCAGCACCACAUACAAAGAUGUUGUGUCCGCCGAAAACUAAAAAAUAAAUAUUAAAAAAAAAAAAAAAAGUUCUUUACUUGACAGUUAAACAUAAUUCAGAAUUUUUAAUUUCAGAAGUUUAAAGUUUGAACAAAUUUCAAAAUUUGUUUUUAUUACAUUGCUAUUUAAUACAAAAACUCUUUAUGAAGAUAAGUUUGAAAGCAUAUAUAUAUAUAUAUAUAUAUAUAUUCACUACACAUUUUCUUUCUCUUGCAUAGAAAUAUCAAGCAAGGCACUCCCUGAAAAACAUAAAUAUUUUUAUAUAAUUUGCCUUUUGAAUUUGAAUGCCAAGUAACAUUCAUUCACUUAUACUAUAUUGAGAAUUCUGGAUUAAUUUAAAUAUAUUUUAUUACCAUGUAUAUUGUAUUAAGAAAUUAAUGAUCCUAUCUUGAAAUUACCCAUUUUUAUUCUCUAUUGAAAAAAAGUUUUUAGUCUUUUCAUCAACUUAAAAUUAGAAAUCUGCACUGAAUGGGGCAUGUUCUGAUUUAGUGCAGUAAAUUUUGGAGUCAAAUGAUAAAAGAAAGUACCAUUAAAAGGCACCUGUAGGGCUGGGGUUGUGGCUCAGUGGCAGAACCCUUGCCUAGCAUGUGUGAGGCACUGGGUUCAGUUCUCAACACCACAUAAAAAUAAAUAAAGGUCCACCAACAACUAAUAAAAUAUUUUUUAAAAGGCAUCUGUAUAGGAUAACAUAAAGAACCAAUCAAAUAUAAAUUAAUAGAAGAACAAAAGUGAAUCUAGUAGAGCAGAUGAAGGAGAAUGGGAGAGGAAAGGGAGGACAGGAGAGAAAAUGGGAAAUUAUGAACUGAAAUCGAUUUUCAUGCAUUUUUGUAGCCAAGCGCAGUGGUGUACUAUGGAUGUAGCUCAGUGGUAGAGCACUUGCCUGGCGUGCGUGAGGCCCUGGGUUCCAUCCCCAAUACUGGAGAAAAAAAAGUGUUGCUAAAAAAAAUUAAUUUUAAUACCUAGUUUACAUUUCUUUUGGUACUAAGGAUUGAACCCAAAGGCACUUUACAACUGUGCUCCAUCCACAGUUGUAAAGUGAGUCAGGGUUUUGCUAAGUUGCUCAGCCCAGCCUCAAACUUGCGGUCCUCCUGUCUCACCCUCAUAAGUAGCUGGGAUUACAGGCAUGAGCCACCACUGCCAGGCCCGAGUUUACAUUUUAAAGAUGUAAAAGCGUCAUAUACUAUAAACCUAUUAAAGUAUAUUAACAAGUAUCGAGGAUUUAUUACUCCUUUUUCCCCCCACCCUUUGGCUAGGAUGUUCGAACCCAGGGUAACUUUACCAUUGAACGAUACUCCAGAGGUACAGCUAUUUUGAGACAAGGUGUCUCCCUGAAUUGACAAGGCUGGCCUUGAACUUUCAAUUCUCCUGUCUCAGCCUUCUGAGCUGCUGGGAUCACAGGUGUGUGCUAUUGCACCCAGCCCUUCUUGCUACUUUUUAAAGAAAUGUUUAUUUUUUGUUUGAACAUGAGGGCAGAAAUAGAUUAUUAGAAAAAAAAAAGCAUAUUCAAACUUUAAAUGUUGACUUUCUUAAUAUUUUAUAACCUUUUUUUUUUCUUUUUUUCUUUUUUUUUUUUUUUUUUGGAGCUGGUGAUGCAUCUCUGUGCCUAGCAAACAUAAGGCCCUGUUUUUUAUCUCGGUGCCUCAAGGGAAAACAAGAUUUUCUUUGUAUAUUUCUUUAUAAAUUACUCUUCCUAUUCUUGAUUCUUGUUUCUGGAGGAAGUAAUAUGAGAAAAUAAGUUAGUUUUUGAAGAGAUUAAAACAAAAAUUAAGUGUGCCAUUUCAAUAAGUUAGUUGAGGCUUUUUAUUUAGAAAUGUUUCGUUUUCAGAAAUAUAUUUUAUAAUCCGUGUAAAUAAAACUGUACUAAAAUGCUUUGUGUGCGCUGUUUAUAAAAAUGAAGUCUUUUACAACGUAAACUUUUAUUCUUACUAUAAAAUGAUCUGUUUAUCAAACAUGUCACUUUGAAAUGCUGACCUCUGAUAUGGAAUACAUUUUAGUUUGCUCUUUUUUUUUUUUUAAGAGAGAGAGAGAAUUUUUUAAUAUUUAUUUUUAGUUUUUUGACGGACACAACAUCUUUGUAUGUGGUGCCGAGGAUCGAACCCUGGCCGCACACAUGCCAGACGAGCGCCGCUACCGCUUGAGCCACAUCCCCAGCCCUUAGUUUGCUCUUUAUAGCCUCUUUCCUCAUCUAUGCCAAGAAAAAAACUGAAAUCUUGUGGGUUCAUGUUUUUGUUACAAGGACUUAUUUUUAUUAUGGACAUAUGCCAUAUCCUAGUGAUCUAAAAAAAGAAAUAUGUAGUCUUUUCAUACAUUACAUUUGCACUGCCAUCUACUCCAAGAUAGACUUAUGUCUAGAAAUUUAAGAUAUGCUCAUAUCUUGAAUUUUCCUAUAAUUUUUAAUUAAUUUAUUGCCUGUUUUAAUUAUGUACCAAUAGUUAAAUUAAGAUGGGAUUUCUAUAACAUCAGUCAAAUAUUAUUUUAAUCUUAGAAUUGAGGCUUUGGAGUAUCAUAGUUUGAGAUUAUGUGCCAUCAUAGGUUUCAAGUGUCAGAAAUUAUACUUUGUUCAUUUGAGUAAUGAGGUGAUUGUUAUUUGAAGGGCAAGGUACUGUUACUUUACUCUUCUGAAUAAACUUCUUCAAUGACACAGUAUACCUUCUAUUAAACUAUGAAGCUCACAGAUUCUAGAGUGUAGUUCAAAAUAUCAAGAAAAAUAAAUGCUAGCUCUCACGGUUUGAUGUUAAAUAGAAAUAAAAUGUACAAAUAUAAAAGGAAAGAAAGAAUUUACUGAUAAGUGGACCUCCUAAGUAUAAAAUCCUGAGGAGUCACCAGAAAUGUUAUUGAAUUCUUAUUUUUAUCUUUUAACAAUAGAAAGGAUAUGCUCACACACAAAAAAAAUUAUAUACAGCAAGAAUAUUCAGAUAUGAAUAUUUGGAAAUUAUAUAAAGAAAUAUAAAAUAACAACAGAAAUAAUCUCAGAAGAAUGUGCAUGGGAACUGAAAAUGAAAACUACAAGAGAAAUAAGGCAAAAAAAAUUCUCAAGCUUAUCUAGAAGAAUAAAUAAAUAAAACAUAAUAAAGUUAGCAAAGAAGAAUAAUGAAAGAAAACCCACCCUAUCAAAUACUGGAACUUAUUUUAAAAGCAGUUACCUCUAAACAAUGUGAUAACAAGGAACAUAUAAGUAGGCAUUUUUAUAUGAUUUUAUUUUGAUAAAAUUAUGAAUAAAGGUAUAACAAUUUGAAAAGUGACAACCUCUAGUAAUAUUGAAGCAACAGGCUCUUAAACAGCAUUUUGCAAAAUAUGCCCUACAUGAUUCUGUGAUGAUGGAUAUCAAAGUUAAAAAUGCCCAUAAUCCAGGCAAUUUGAGAAAUUCUAGGUUAAUGAUAAUGUUUUUUACAAAAUGAUUUCUUCAAAAUUAAAAAAAUAUGCUGUGACUCAAGAGUUAUAUAUGUGUUUUAAACAGAAGGAAACUAAAUCAGAAUAACUUGCAGGAUUCAGCUUCUUUGGAAUACUCUGGGAAGUACUAUUAAAAUUUUAAUUUUGGGACUAGGGUUGGCUCAGCAGCAGAGCACUCACCUAGCACGUGCAAGGUGCUGGGUUCGAUCCUCAGCAUCACAUAAAAAUAAAUAAAUAAAGGUAUUGUGUUCAACUACAACUAAGAUUUAGUUUUGUUCCUUUCCCUCCCACUAGAUACCAAAAAGAUCAGUUACAACUAAAAUGUAAAAUCAUGAAAACAAAAUAGAAACUGGGAAUUUAUAUAUAUUCAUCACAACUGUAGAUGCCUCUAUGAACAAUGGUAAAAGGGAAAUAGUAGCAUAGUUGUAUGAAAGUAAAGAGAUUAAAGGUAUGAAAAACUAAACAAAAACUUGGGGGAAAGAUUGCUGCAAAGAUGGUCAGUAGAGAUAGCAUACAAAUUAAUUUUAAAUAAAUAAAAUCUUAUUAAUAGUGCUAGGGGUAUAGCUCACUGGUUGCCUAGCAUGCACAAGGCUCUAGGUUUGAACCCAGCACCAAGGAUGAAGAAAGAGAUUAAUCCUUACAAAUAGGCAAUGGACAUAGUUCACUGGAAACUUAACUAGUAUAUAGACUGAAAUAGGUUUACAGCAUCCAUAAUCAAAUAUCAGUGAAAUUCAACUCCUGAUGUGUCUUAUCCCCAAGGGAUUUCUUCCUCCUACUCAGUAUGUGUAUUUUGCAUGUGCUCCUUAAAAAUCCUAUUUAAAGUUUCAAGAAAAAUCUUUUAAGUUCUGAUGUGUGUGAAUUAAACAUCACUCUAGUUCUGCCAAGCACUAUAUACUGUUUGGGGAUUAGCUGUUCCACAUUCAUUCUCUCUUUCUCUUCUAGUUUCCAUUCUGUGAUGGUGCUCACACAAAACAUAACGAAGAGACUGGAGACAACGUGGGACCUCUGAUUGUCAAGAAAAAAGAAAGUUAAACGGACAAUUUUGAUGCUGCAGACCAACUUGUCAUGAUGUUACCUGAUAAUUUAAUUAGAAUGACUACCACUUCUGUCUAAUUUACCUCCCCUGCGUUCUAGAUGUGUGGUAUAUUGCAAACCUCACCUUUCACAUUCAUGGCAUUUGCCUUACUUGUUGAAACAUCGUGGUGCACAUUUGUUUAAACAAAAAAGGAAAACCAACCUUAUGGCCUAUGGGUUAUUUUGGUCUUGUAAGGAUCCGUUUCUUUAAAUUUAAAAUAAUGGUAUUAGACUAUAGUUGUAUCUUGAGGUUGGUGUAUUAAAUUAUUCUCAAAAUCAUGUAUAUGCAGAUUGUACUUGGAAGUUUCAAAGAAAAUUUUAUCGCCUUUUCAUAUUGCUUAUUUGACCUAGAAAGUGAACAGGGUGUGAUUAAGCUACAUUAAUUUCGUAGUAUAGUCUUAAGAAAAACCUGUUAUAACCUUGAUUUUCUUCUUGACAGUGGUAAUAACACUAAGAAAAUACAGCUUCUGUGUUUUCAACGUUUUCAAUUUAAAUGAACUAUGAAUGUCACUCUACUUAAUUAUAAGUUGACCAGGUCAGUAAUAAAGGGGCAGCAACUUCCUUUGUGUUUAUCUUUAUGGAUAUUUAAUUGAUCCAUUAAAAGAACAAAUAGUAGGAAUUUAGAUCACAGUGAGAAUAGGUUAAAAGUAGUCAUGAAGAAUGUCUUAAAAUAUAAUGCUCCAGAAUUCUAGACCAAGGAGUGGCAAGCACUGGAACUAAGGACGUGGAAGAAACUGAAGCACACAUUUCAAGUCUCUUAAUCACAAAGCCAAACAUCUGUGACGGAAAUAGUAGUCAUAAGACUAGAUCAAAGAUGGGGGAAAAUUUUUUAUUCCUCACUCUGGAUAAUCAAACACAUGGCUUAUAUUAGUAAAGAUACUAUUUGGGAAAGAAAAAAGAAAUUUAUCCUCUUAAAUUGUAUGAUCUUUAUUCUUCAAAGAUUUGAAGACAAAGUGUUUAUGUAAUAUUCUUCAAGACUCAGAUCAGGGCUGGGAUUGUAGGUCAGUGGUACAGUGCUUGCACAAGUGAGGCACUAGAUUCAAUCUUCAGCACCCCAUAAAAAUAAAUAAAUAAAAGGUAUUGUGUCCAUCUGCAACUUAAAAAAAGACUCAGACCAAAAGUAUUUCAUUCACUGCCAAUUAAAAAAAAAUGUGUGUGUAUAUAUAUAUAUAUAUAUAUAUAUAUAUAUAUAUACACACACACACAUACACACACACAUACACUAGAAGCAAUGGAAUAAUUAAGAAAUAGCUUUUUAUGUGUGUAUUUUUUUUUUCCCCUUGGCACUGGGGAUUACACCCAGGGGCACCUUACUGGUAAUCACAUCCCCAGCCCCUUUUUGUUUGAGAUGGUCUCACUAAAUUGCCUAGGCUGCCUUCAAAUGUGAAAUCCUCUUACCUUAGCCUCCCAAGUCGCUGGGAUUAUAGACAGCACCACUACGCUUGGACAUAUAUAAAAUCUAGGCUGUGUAUGUGUGGCUUUGAUUUGAGGAUCUUAUAGGUUAGAAGGGAAAGUCAUGAUACAAUUUGGGGCACACAAUUUGAAAUGGUAAAACAGUCAUUUGUACAUUUGAAUUCUCAGUUAACUAUCAGUCACAAGUUUCUAUGUGCUAAAAUUCAGGUACCUUAGAAGUCACAGGAAUCAAUGAAACCAGACAGCACUCCUAAAGGUUAGGUUUGGGGUAGAAGGUUGUUUUUUAUGGUGCUGGGGGUAGAACCCAAGGCUUUGUGCAUGCAAGGCAUGCAAGCAUUCUACCACUGAACUACAUCCCCAGCCUCUGAUUCUAACAUUUUUUAAAUGUAUAAUUUAACGUACUACGGUACAUAAAGGUUGAUGUCAUAAUUAUGUGCAUUUGCCUCUGUGAAAGGUUGAUGUCAUAAUUAUGUGCAUUUGCCUCUGUGACUGACCUGGACAUGUCUUCAGGACACAUCUCCAAGCAAAAUCUAAAAUCUACCCUGAUUCUAUCAGAUUCUUAGGGUAAAAUUUUUUCCAUGCCCAUACUCCUUUUUUAAAAUAAGUAUGAAUGGGUCAGCAAAAGAGAUCAUCAUGCUUUUAAAACGUAAUUAUUUUAAAGAAAAAUCCAUAACACUCAGUUUCUGAUAAAGGGACAUCCUUUUAAUGGGAAUAAACUAUAUUCUUCAUUUUGAAUUUGAAACUGUUAUGCUUUUUUAUAAUUGGGGCUAGUAACAAUUUCAGAACUAUAAGUGUAUAUAUGUAUGUGAUGAAAUUUGAGAUGACCUACCGUACUAUGAAAUACAAAUAUUGAACAUUUUGAUAAUUCAAGAUAAUUAGGUAAAUGUAGUUUCCAAGUCCUGUUAAAAUUUUAUCACAGGCUUUUGAACUAAUUCAUUUAUAACAAUAAAACAUUCUGUUAAUUAUAAAAAUAAAGUGUUUAUGGUUAGGUUAAUGCAAGAUUCUUUACAUACACACAAAAUUGUGUGCAGUUACUGAUCUAGUUAAAGCACCUUAGAGCUUCAAAGUGCCUUUUCAUUUAUCAGGCAAUUGGAGUGCCUUUUUUCUCAAUAUAAUUUAUGUCUUAGGGAUUUCUGUUAGAUCUGUUAGGUUGAGAGGGUUUUAAUGUAAAGAAUCUUGUUUUGCAGUGAUCUUGAUGGACAUCUAUUCUUGCAACAGACAUGUAUUAGACUAAGGACCAUAUAAUGGAGAAUGAAGCAUUUUAGAGAAUUAGCAGCUCAUAGUUUGGAUUAUAUAAUUUAUGACAUAGAUUAUAUAAUUAUAGCAAUUCUAAUUCAGGAUUAUUUUUCUUGAUAAAUUAUGACAAGUACCACCAAAUAUACUAAACAGUUCUACUAAGUAGGUGGGAUUACCUGAUUUGAUAUUUUUUGGGCUGGGGAUAUAGCUCAGUUGGUAGACUGCUUGCCUCACAUGCACAAGGCCCUAGGUUCAAUCCCCAGCACCAAAAAAAAAAAAAAAAUAUAUAUAUAUAUAUAUAUAUAUAUAUAUAUAUAUAUAAUGAAGGUGUUUGGUGUGGUAAAUAUCGACUAACUUUAUUAAUUGACAAUAUAUGUAGUGAUUGAAUUUCAGGGAUGGUGUAUGCUACUAGUUGUUAGAAGCUAUGAUUUCUCUCUCCAAUUAAAAAAAAAAUGACCUCAAGCUAUGCCACUCAUCCCUCAACCUUUUAAGCAAAAUUGGUUAAAGUAAAUGGUAUUGAUUUAGGCCCUUAUCCCCAAAUUCUAGGCCAAGAUUAAAAUUUCAGCUAUCCAUAGAGGGGGAAAACUGCUAAAAGAAGGUUGUCAACUCAAACAUUUAAUAUGAGAUUAUCCCAACUUUUAUAGUACCUGUGUUUCCUUUCUUUAAUGAAAUGAUAGUAAUGUUACUUGCUUUAAAUAUAUUUUUGGUGGGGCUGGAGAUAUAGCUCAGUUGGUAGAGUGCUUGCCUUGCACAUAGGGCCUUGGGUUCAAUCCCCAGCACCACCAAAACAAACAAACAAAAAGUCUCCUUGGCAAAAUGUUAGAAGCUCUGUCUGUAUUGGUCCCUACUAUUUUUUUUUUUUUUUGAAUUUUGAUAUUUAUUUUCUAUUUAGUUUUCGGUGGACACAACAUCUUUGUAUGUGGUGCUGAGGAGGAUCGAACCCGGGCCGCACGCAUGCCAGGCGAGCGCGCUACCGCUUGAGCCACAUCCCCAGCCCCCUACUAUUUUUUUAACAGCUCCACAAAAUGUAAAAGUCUAAGCCAAGUUCUAUCAAAGUUCUGAGACAUGUUAUUUCAUUAUUAACAGUUUUGAUAUGUAGUUUGUGUGAAAUUUUUCAUAUCUGAUUAUUAGCACAAUGUCUUGAGGCUUCAUGAAAGUUACUGUAAAGAAAAGCAAAAUUUAUUUUCACUCACUUUACUAGCAUGAAUCCAAACUAAAGGCCAUGCCAAUUUAUCCUGUCCCUUUCACAGCCUGUCACUUUAAAUGAUUAAACCACACAACAUGGAAUUCACAAAGGAUGAGUGUUAACUGUGGGAAGGCAUACACCCAACAAUAAAUCCACAUUUUUUUUUGCAAAUGUUCACAGCACCUUUAUUCAUAAUUAUCUCAAGAAUGGAAGCAAGCAAGAUGUUUUUUAAUAAGAGGAUAGAUGAACAAACCAUGGUGAAUAUAUCCAGUGGGAUAUUUAUCAAUAUUAAGACAAACAUAAAAAGUUAGCAAUCAAGCCAUGAACAAAUGUAAAUACACAUUUUUGUGGGUUUAAGAAAUCUGAGCUGGAGCCAGACAUGGUGGCUCAGGCCUGUAAUCCCAGAGACUUGGGAGGCUGAGGCAGAAGGAUAGCAAGUUUGAAGCCAGCCUCAGCAAUUUAGCAAGGCCCUAAGCAACUUAGCAAGACCUUGUCUCAAAACAAAAAGAGUUGGAGAUGUGGCUCAGUGGUGAAGUGCCUCUUUUGUACCUAAACAAGAAAUCUGGGCUGGGGCAACUUGAAGAACUGAAGCAGGAGGAUCACAAAUUCAAAGCCAGCCUCAGCAACUUAGACCCUGUCUCAAAAAAAGGGGGAUGGGGAUGCAGCUCCCUAGUAAAGGGCCUAAUCCCUAGUACUAUAAAAAGUAAAAAAAGAAAUCUGGGCUGGGGACAUAGCUUAAUGGUAGAGUGCCUAGCAUGUGCAAGGCCCUGGGUUUGAUUCCCAGCACCACAAAAAAAAAAAAAAAGUUUCAUAAAUAAAGGAAAUGCAUAUAUUAGCUGAAGUUACCAGGAAAGUGGAAAGACUAAGCCUCAAACAUGGACCAGAAGAAUGCCAAGCUUAAAAUGUCAGCCAAGCAUUUUGUGAGACACUCCUCACUUUUAGUAAUACCUGCAUCUGAGAAUAACAUACUCCUUUCUAGUUCUUCCAAACUAUCUCAGGAUAUCCAUAAGUCAAUUUCUAUCAAGAUCUGAAGCUUAACGUGAGAUUAUGUAAAUAUCACAGGGUUGUACAGAUUCCCAGCUUUGUUAGGUAAUACUGCCUACAACAUGUUCACUACUGGGUUAGACAGAGGCUCCUCUGUGUAUGUCAGACAGGAGAGAUGAUGUCUCUUCUGGCUCUGUCAUCCAUUAAGCUUAGUUGAAUCUGUUAAAUUCAUUUCAAAACCUCCCAACCAUGAAAGGUGAAGUUCACUUAUAUAAUCUGUCCCUGUACAGUAAUCCUUCUUCUUUAUCCUAACAUUUCUUAACACAGUGUUCCUCUCAUUCUAGAGAAGGCUGUGUUUUCACCUUAAUACUGUGGUUUUAGUUUUUAAAUUUCUCAGCCAUCAUUUUUCCACUGUAGUAGAUUUCACUUUCCACUUCUCAUCCCUUAAAGAGCGGUGUGAUCAUCACUUAAUGCAACCUCAUUCCUUUCUCCCUGCCCCCACCCUCACCUCCAUCCUCUCCCAUUUCUGGGUACUGAGGGUGGAACCCAGGGGCACUCUACCACUGAGCUACAUCCCCAGCCCUUUUUAUUUUUAUUUUGAGACGGGGUCUCACUAAGUGCCCAGACUGGCCCUGAACUUGCAAUCAUCUUGCCUCAGCCUCCUGAGUCAAUGGGACUCCAGGCUUGUGCCACUGUGUCCAGAUCCCUUUCUCUCAAUAUUAUUUCUCUUAGAAUCCAGAAGGAAACUGCUUCUAGCAUGGAAGCCCAUAUAAUGUUUAAAUUGCUGUUUUACUGCUUCAGUCGUGACCCGGGACGCCACCUAGUGUGGAAUCUCUGAUAAUGAAAAUAUUAAACCAUAAGCUACAUUUUAUAUUUUAAAAUUGUCAGCAGGAUAUACACCUGACUUGAGUCCCUGGUCCUGAAGUAACAUUGUACCCCUCAAAAUUUGAUCCCUUAAUAACAGUUUACAUAUCUAUAAUUUCCUGAUAGUUUUGGCAGCUGGUUUGGGAAAUCAUUGGUAGUAAUGUUCCAGGACUUACUGAUGUUUAACUCGUGAGAAAGAAAUAAUAAGUCAAAUUUUGAGCAUUAAGGUAUUCUCAGUACCUAGAACAGUUAUAAGCACAUAGAAGAUGUUCAAUAAAACUUGUUUCAAUUAAUAGAUUUGAAUGCAAUUUUUAAAAGUCACAAAGAUAAUUGCCAAAAAGUAUUUCUGUUUAUUCUUCCCCAAACCCUGAUACUUCUUUUCCAUACUGAAAAUGUACUGAAUAGUUAUCUUAUCCUAACAAGAUUGGCUAUUAUUUAGGUUACCUAAUCAACAUUCCUGUGGCUAACUAAACUGGUGGUAUAAAGACCAACCAACAAAAACCACUAUCCAGGGCUGGGGCUGUAACUCAGUGGUAACACACUUGUCUGGCAUGUAUGAGGCCCUGGGUUGACAGCCACCACCAAAAAAAAAAAAAAGGAAAACUGCUCUCCAGGGUAGCUCAUUUUAAGCCAGUAUCACAUGGUGCAUUAUAUUUAGGGGGACAUACAGUACAUGGUUCUUUCAAACCCAUGGACAGCACUGUAAGAAACAACGGCAGGGGGUCUUCCCUACACUGGGCAGCAACUUCCUUGCUACAAUCCCUCACCGGAGAAGGAACACCUGCUCCCAGGUCGUCUCCACUCCCUACUUGGUCCUGAGCACCCUUCAGCUCUAUGCAGCAAGGCUGAAAUGAACAGACACUGACAGAUGACAGCUUCAGAACCUUGGCAGUCUCCCAUUCCCCUGACCUCACUUGUCCCUAGCCGCAGCUUUUAAAGCAGCACCUUUUCAAGGGACAUGGACACAGCAAUCAGCAGCUGCCUCGCCAUCAGCGGUGCCAGGAACACUCCUCUGCGGCAGUGGCCUUUCUCCUAUGUCAUUCUGGGUUUUCCCUCUCAGAGGUUGCAGGGCCCUCUGCCUGCUGGUGGCCUUUCUCAUCUUCUUCAGCAUGUGAAGAUGUUCUCUCCAUUUCCCGUUGUUCUUUCUCAUGUCUACCCUAUAUGUUCCUUUUCCCAUACCUUCACUGGGUAGUCUGGGGGAAAUGGUUGACUAGGUUUUUAAUAAAGGGGGGAAAAAUACUGUGGUACAAAGAGAAGAAGUGGGGGUUGGGGAGUCUGCUUGCCGCUGGGUAAAAGGCUAAACUUUUUGGUGUUGGUCAGCCUAGAAGGCCUGCUGGGUACUUUUUUUCCCUCCUUGGGGCAGGGUGGAUGGGUGCAACAAUCACAGGUUUUUAAAUCGGAUUUGAUUCAAAUCCCUGCUCUACUCUUCAUUAGGUAAAAUCUUGAAGAAGUUAUCUUCUAUGAUGGUUAAUUUUAUGUGUCACCACAGGGUGCCCAGAUAUUGGGUCAAAUAUUCUUCUGAGAGUUUAUGAGUGUUUGGGGAAGAGCUUAACGUUUUAAUUGUUAGAUUGGAUGAAGCAGAUGGCUUUCCCUAGAGUAGGUGGGCCUUGUGCAGUCCUCUGGAGACCUGAAUAGAACAAAAAUCUGACUGUCCUCCAGGAAGAGAGAAUUCUUCUUGCCUGACUGCCUGUCUUUGAACUGAAUGGUCUCUCCCUGGGUCUCAAGCCUGCUGGCCUUCAGACAAACUAUACCAUCUGCUCUCCUGGGGCUCCCAGGCUUGCUGACUCACCCUACAGAUCUUGUCAGCCUCUGUAAUCUGGUGAGCAGAUUCCUCAUGAAACAUCUAUUUUUGCCUCUCUCCCUCUCCCUCUCUCUCUCCUUCUCUCCCUCUCCGUCUCUCUCCAUCCUCUAGGUUCUGUUUCUCUUGAGGAUCCUAACCAACAUGACCUCUUUCUUUUCUCUCUUUCUUUCAGCAUGUGAAAGGGGAAUUAUACCUACCCUAGGAGGGUUACAGAUACUGAAUUUACCCAUCCAUCAUGGUAUCUCAUAAUACAUACCAGUUUGGCUUCCUUACCCUAAAACAUGUCACCUGCUAAAAGCAGCACAGAGACUCAGAGUGGUUUCUUACAUAAUACAGAGAAAUGAUUGACCAUUGCUAAUUUUAUUUUGUUAACAUUCCCAAGAUAAUUUUCUACAAAUGUCCCCUAUUUUCUGUAUGAGAAAGAGAUUUAAAAAUAAAAUCAGUUUUUUCAAGUUAGAAGAUCUUUCCACAGUGAUUUCUACAAAUAAUUAUUGAACACCAACUGUUUGCCAGGUAACAAGACCAAAAUUAAUCCCUACCCUCACUGAGUUUAUCAAUUAGUCAACACACAAUCCCCCACUCAACUCUUAGUGUGGGGGGAAAGUUAGUGUAAAAGACAAGUAAUCAGGCCAUUAGUAAGAUGAUUAGAGACAUGAAGUGGAAGAGAUAAGAACAAAAGCAACAGACUCAUCAAGUGAAAGCAGGAAAAAGGACUAAACUGAGGUAGAAGAGGUUGGUCUUCCUUGUCUUGGCCAAAACUUGAAAGGACUUGCAUUUAACCAUGACCCCUUUCCUGGAGAGGAAAAAAAAAAAAAAAAGUGAAAUCAAUGGUGGCUAUGUAUUGUUGUCUUUGCCUAAUUAAGAAAUACCUGAUGCAGGUGGAAAUGUCUGGUGAUCUCAGUACAAAUAGUGUUAAGGUGUUUAAAUUUGUUAAUUGAUACAUAGCAACAUUAACUUUGUACACAUUAAUGGAGUAACUUGUGAUGUUUCAAUACAUGUAUAUAUUGUGUGAUGUUUAAAUCAGG